GAUGCCCCGCGCCGUGCUUGCACGGGUAAGCGGGCAGACGUUAAUGACGCGCCCCCCAAUGAGGAUGAAGUGGGGGAGGGGCCCCGCGAAAUCCGAAUUGGGGGGAGGAUUGCGGGAGUGCGCAGCACGGAGCAAUCCGUGUG
rnacentral:sRNA from 1 species